AGCAAAUGCACAAAUAUAUGGUGGGAAAAAUUGGUUUUGAACUAAUUCUGCUGUGUCCAAAAGAACAAGAUUCUUUACAGACAAGGGGCAGUGUCAUCUGCAUAGAACGACACUACAGACCAGAGUCUCUGGUAAUAGUGAUGGCCAAAGAUUAAGAAACAAAGAGCUGCUGAGCCCUCCUCCCAUAACCAACUUAACCCUGUUGCAGGAAUGUGAGCGGCCCUGCCCUUCCAUGAACUGAAGCUUAACAGCUUUGCUCCAGGCACAUUCAGGUAACAGAGUGAUCCUUCCUGAAAAGGUGAAACAAUGGAGAGGGAAGGACAUCUCAGAAGGUGUCACACCCGACAUCUUAUA